UGGGGACAUCGGGGACCCCCUUGGGGACACUUUGGGGACACCAAGGACCCUCCUGGGGACACUUUGGGGACAUCGGGGACCCCCUGGGGACAUUGGGGAUCCCUUGGGGACACUUUGGGGACACCUUGGGGACACCUUGGGGACAUUGGGGACACCUCUGGGGACAUCAGGGGCACCUCUGGGGACACUUGGAGACACCUUGGGGACAUUUUGGGGACAUUGGGGACACUUUGGGGACACCUUGGGGACACCUUUGGGGACACCCUGGGGACACCUGAGGGCAUCAGGGACCAUCUGGGGACAUCAGGAACCCCUUGGGGACCUUGGGGACACUUUGGGGACAUUGGGGACACCUUGGGGACAUCGGGGACACCUUGGGGACACUCUGGGGACACCUUGGGGACAUUGGGGACACCAAGGACCCUCCUGGGGACAUUUUGGGGACAUCAGGGACCCCUUUGGGGUGGUUGUGGUGGCCUUGGGGACAUUGGGGACCCCCUUGGGGACAUUUUGGGGGGGGACAUUUUGGGGACACCUGAGGGCAUCGGGGACCCCUUUGGGGACACCAGGAACCCCUUGGGGACAUCGGGGACCCCCUUGGGGACACUUUGGGGACACCAAGGACCCUCCUGGGGACACCUUGGGGACAUCAGGGACACCUUUGGGGUGGUUGUGGUGGCCUUGGGGACACCAAGGACCCUUUUGGGGACAUCAGGGACCCCCUUGGGGACACCUUGGGGACAUCAGGGACCAUUCUGGGGACACCAAGGACCCUCCUGGGGACACUUUGGGGACAUCAGGGACACCUUUGGGGUGGUUGUGGUGGCCUUGGGGACAUCGGGCAGCCCCUUGGGGACAUCGGGGUCCCUUUUGGGGACAAUUCAGGGACGUUGGGGACCCUUUUGGGGACACUUUGGGGACAUCAGGGACCCUUGGGGACACCAAGGACCCUUUGGGGACAUCAGGGACCACUUGGGGACAUCGAGGACCCCUUUAACGGUACUUUGA
rnacentral:lncRNA from 1 species